GGUUAAGCGACUAAGCGUACACGGUGGAUGCCCUGGCAGUCAGAGGCGAUGAAGGACGUGCUAAUCUGCGAUAAGCGUCGGUAAGGUGAUAUGAACCGUUAUAACCGGCGAUUUCCGAAUGGGGAAACCCAGUGUGAUUCGUCACACUAUCAUUAACUGAAUCCAUAGGUUAAUGAGGCGAACCGGGGGAACUGAAACAUCUAAGUACCCCGAGGAAAAGAAAUCAACCGAGAUUCCCCCAGUAGCGGCGAGCGAACGGGGAGCAGCCCAGAGCCUGAAUCAGUGUGUGUGUUAGUGGAAGCGUCUGGAAAGGCGCGCGAUACAGGGUGACAGCCCCGUACACAAAAAUGCACAUGCUGUGAGACUCGAUGAGUAGGGCGGGACACGUGGUAUCCUGUCUGAAUAUGGGGGGACCAUCCUCCAAGGCUAAAUACUCCUGACUGACCGAUAGUGAACCAGUACCGUGAGGGAAAGGCGAAAAGAACCCCGGCGAGGGGAGUGAAAAAGAACCUGAAACCGUGUACGUACAAGCAGUGGGAGCCUCUUUAUGGGGUGACUGCGUACCUUUUGUAUAAUGGGUCAGCGACUUAUAUUCUGUAGCAAGGUUAACCGAAUAGGGGAGCCGAAGGGAAACCGAGUCUUAACUGGGCGUUAAGUUGCAGGGUAUAGACCCGAAACCCGGUGAUCUAGCCAUGGGCAGGUUGAAGGUUGGGUAACACUAACUGGAGGACCGAACCGACUAAUGUUGAAAAAUUAGCGGAUGACUUGUGGCUGGGGGUGAAAGGCCAAUCAAACCGGGAGAUAGCUGGUUCUCCCCGAAAGCUAUUUAGGUAGCGCCUCGUGAAUUCAUCUCCGGGGGUAGAGCACUGUUUCGGCAAGGGGGUCAUCCCGACUUACCAACCCGAUGCAAACUGCGAAUACCGGAGAAUGUUAUCACGGGAGACACACGGCGGGUGCUAACGUCCGUCGUGAAGAGGGAAACAACCCAGACCGCCAGCUAAGGUCCCAAAGUCAUGGUUAAGUGGGAAACGAUGUGGGAAGGCCCAGACAGCCAGGAUGUUGGCUUAGAAGCAGCCAUCAUUUAAAGAAAGCGUAAUAGCUCACUGGUCGAGUCGGCCUGCGCGGAAGAUGUAACGGGGCUAAACCAUGCACCGAAGCUGCGGCAGCGACACUAUGUGUUGUUGGGUAGGGGAGCGUUCUGUAAGCCUGUGAAGGUGUACUGUGAGGUAUGCUGGAGGUAUCAGAAGUGCGAAUGCUGACAUAAGUAACGAUAAAGCGGGUGAAAAGCCCGCUCGCCGGAAGACCAAGGGUUCCUGUCCAACGUUAAUCGGGGCAGGGUGAGUCGACCCCUAAGGCGAGGCCGAAAGGCGUAGUCGAUGGGAAACAGGUUAAUAUUCCUGUACUUGGUGUUACUGCGAAGGGGGGACGGAGAAGGCUAUGUUGGCCGGGCGACGGUUGUCCCGGUUUAAGCGUGUAGGCUGGUUUUCCAGGCAAAUCCGGAAAAUCAAGGCUGAGGCGUGAUGACGAGGCACUACGGUGCUGAAGCAACAAAUGCCCUGCUUCCAGGAAAAGCCUCUAAGCAUCAGGUAACAUCAAAUCGUACCCCAAACCGACACAGGUGGUCAGGUAGAGAAUACCAAGGCGCUUGAGAGAACUCGGGUGAAGGAACUAGGCAAAAUGGUGCCGUAACUUCGGGAGAAGGCACGCUGAUAUGUAGGUGAAGUCCCUUGCGGAUGGAGCUGAAAUCAGUCGAAGAUACCAGCUGGCUGCAACUGUUUAUUAAAAACACAGCACUGUGCAAACACGAAAGUGGACGUAUACGGUGUGACGCCUGCCCGGUGCCGGAAGGUUAAUUGAUGGGGUUAGCGGUAACGCGAAGCUCUUGAUCGAAGCCCCGGUAAACGGCGGCCGUAACUAUAACGGUCCUAAGGUAGCGAAAUUCCUUGUCGGGUAAGUUCCGACCUGCACGAAUGGCGUAAUGAUGGCCAGGCUGUCUCCACCCGAGACUCAGUGAAAUUGAACUCGCUGUGAAGAUGCAGUGUACCCGCGGCAAGACGGAAAGACCCCGUGAACCUUUACUAUAGCUUGACACUGAACAUUGAGCCUUGAUGUGUAGGAUAGGUGGGAGGCUUUGAAGUGUGGACGCCAGUCUGCAUGGAGCCGACCUUGAAAUACCACCCUUUAAUGUUUGAUGUUCUAACGUUGGCCCCUAAUCGGGGUUGCGGACAGUGUCUGGUGGGUAGUUUGACUGGGGCGGUCUCCUCCUAAAGAGUAACGGAGGAGCACGAAGGUUGGCUAAUCCUGGUCGGACAUCAGGAGGUUAGUGCAAUGGCAUAAGCCAGCUUGACUGCGAGCGUGACGGCGCGAGCAGGUGCGAAAGCAGGUCAUAGUGAUCCGGUGGUUCUGAAUGGAAGGGCCAUCGCUCAACGGAUAAAAGGUACUCCGGGGAUAACAGGCUGAUACCGCCCAAGAGUUCAUAUCGACGGCGGUGUUUGGCACCUCGAUGUCGGCUCAUCACAUCCUGGGGCUGAAGUAGGUCCCAAGGGUAUGGCUGUUCGCCAUUUAAAGUGGUACGCGAGCUGGGUUUAGAACGUCGUGAGACAGUUCGGUCCCUAUCUGCCGUGGGCGCUGGAGAACUGAGGGGGGCUGCUCCUAGUACGAGAGGACCGGAGUGGACGCAUCACUGGUGUUCGGGUUGUCAUGCCAAUGGCACUGCCCGGUAGCUAAAUGCGGAAGAGAUAAGUGCUGAAAGCAUCUAAGCACGAAACUUGCCCCGAGAUGAGUUCUCCCUGACUCCCUGAGAGUCCUGAAGGAACGUUGAAGACGACGACGUUGAUAGGCCGGGUGUGUAAGCGCAGCGAUGCGUUGAGCUAACCGGUACUAAUGAACCGUGAGGCUUAACCUU
rnacentral:rRNA from 1 species